rnacentral:rRNA from 1 species
GGCUGGGGGUGCUAUACUGCAGUCGAGCGGACAGAAGGGAGCUUGCUCCCGGAUGUUAGCGGCGGACGGGUGAGUAACACGUGGGUAACCUGCCUGUAAGACUGGGAUAACUCCGGGAAACCGGAGCUAAUACCGGAUAGUUCCUUGAACCGCAUGGUUCAAGGAUGAAAGACGGUUUCGGCUGUCACUUACAGAUGGACCCGCGGCGCAUUAGCUAGUUGGUGAGGUAACGGCUCACCAAGGCGACGAUGCGUAGCCGACCUGAGAGGGUGAUCGGCCACACUGGGACUGAGACACGGCCCAGACUCCUACGGGAGGCAGCAGUAGGGAAUCUUCCGCAAUGGACGAAAGUCUGACGGAGCAACGCCGCGUGAGUGAUGAAGGUUUUCGGAUCGUAAAGCUCUGUUGUUAGGGAAGAACAAGUGCAAGAGUAACUGCUUGCACCUUGACGGUACCUAACCAGAAAGCCACGGCUAACUACGUGCCAGCAGCCGCGGUAAUACGUAGGUGGCAAGCGUUGUCCGGAAUUAUUGGGCGUAAAGGGCUCGCAGGCGGUUUCUUAAGUCUGAUGUGAAAGCCCCCGGCUCAACCGGGGAGGGUCAUUGGAAACUGGGAAACUUGAGUGCAGAAGAGGAGAGUGGAAUUCCACGUGUAGCGGUGAAAUGCGUAGAGAUGUGGAGGAACACCAGUGGCGAAGGCGACUCUCUGGUCUGUAUCUGACGCUGAGGAGCGAAAGCGUGGGGAGCGAACAGGAUUAGAUACUCUGGUAGUCCACGCCGUAAACGAUGAGUGCUAAGUGUUAGGGGGUUUCCGCCCCUUAGUGCUGCAGCUAACGCAUUAAGCACUCCGCCUGGGGAGUACGGUCGCAAGACUGAAACUCAAAGGAAUUGACGGGGGCCCCGCACCAGCGGUGGAGCAUGUGGUUUAUUCGAAGCAACGCGACACCUUACCAUGUCGUGACAUCUCUGACAACCCUAGAGAUAGGGCUUUCCCUUCGGGACAGAGUGACAGUGCUGCAUGU